GACGAACGCUGGCGGCGUGCUUAACACAUGCAAGUCGAACGGAAAGGCCUCUUUCGGGGGGUACUCGAGUGGCGAACGGGUGAGUAACACGUGAGUAACCUGCCCUUGACUUUGGGAUAACUUCAGGAAACUGGGGCUAAUACCGGAUAGGAGCUCCUGCUGCAUGGUGGGGGUUGGAAAGUUUCGGCGGUUGGGGAUGGACUCGCAGCUUAUCAGCUUGUUGGUGGGGUAGUGGCUUACCAAGGCUUUGACGGGUAGCCGGCCUGAGAGGGUGACCGGCCACAUUGGGACUGAGAUACGGCCCAGACUCCUACGGGAGGCAGCAGUGGGGAAUAUUGCACAAUGGGUGGAAGCCUGAUGCAGCAACGCCGUGUGCGGGAUGACGGCCUUCGGGUUGUAAACCGCUUUCGCUCAUGACGAAGCUUUGUGUGACGGUAGUGGGUAAAGAAGCACCGGCUAACUACGUG
rnacentral:rRNA from 1 species